ensembl:lncRNA
CUCUAGCCCUCACCCUCUUCCCCUCACCCCUCACCCUCCCCUCUAAGAUGUAAUGAUGUAACAUCUGCUCACCGUCAGAAAUACUGAAGAUAAACCGGAUCUCAUGUUGCAGCUGAUUAACUACAGCGAACCUCCCAGUCACGCCACGCUGUUUCUUUUGUUGUUUUGGUCUUUACUUUUCUCACACAUUAAAAAUGCAAUAUAUAUGAGGGGACAACCGAAGGCAAAGGAAAAGAAGACGUUGUUUCAAUAUUUUUUUACUAGGGAAUGUUCAGAGAACAUAAAAAUGUAACAAUAAAAUAACAGCCCAUACCGAAACAGGCUCUUAAAGACUAUGUGGAUAAUAAAGUUUCUCAGGGCAGUGACUCACUGCACUGGAAAUUGCAUUUCAAACACAGCAAUAAAAUACAGUUGAGCAACAUGGUUUGGGCCCGUCCUGUGGAUUUAUGCUGUCAUCCGUGGUAUACUGGUUGCUUGUCAUCUUUGUAAUUGUUGUGGUAAGAAAGGUUAGCUGUUGGGAGAAGAAGGGAGGGAUUUGACAUUCAAAUAUUAUAAUUAUUUGGUUGCAAGUCAUUCCGUACAAAGAGAACCCUUAUUCUGGUUUCUAUUUCAAGAAGCUUGGGUGAGAAGGUUCUCCGCAAAUAAAAAAAAGCUCCAAUGUAAACUCUUUGUAGAGUCUGUAAUAUUUGACAUUGGAUCAUUGUAGCAGCCUCACUAUAAUAAGAAUGAUUUAAAGUGUGACAGUCUGUGUUUUGUCCAUGCUUGCAUGUGUUUGUUUGCAUGUGUGCCUAAGUAUCUGAGUAUAUGUGUAUGUAUGUGUUGGUGUGCUGGCGUGUGCGUAACUGUGUGUGUGUGUGUGUUUACGCCUCAAUGACACCCUGUCGUGGUUCUUGUGAGAGACAUGUGUCAAGAAAUUCCAACCAGGAUGUGUGUAUUCAUUAUUGGGUGGCAAUUGUCCACUGUCUGUUAAGAUCAUGUCCAACCGUCCAACAAACUCUGUCCGUCAGUCUGACAGCUUUUGGGGGUUUCUGUCUUGAGAAAGGCGUACGUUGCCGUCCCGACGGAGAAAUGGGGGGGCGGCCCUCUUCAUACCUUGCGGGCCCCAAGAGCCGUAAGUCAGACACUCUCUGAGUCAUGUUAAACUCUUAGAGGGGUGUCAUGGCUCCUCACCUCACACCUGCAAAGAAAAUCCAGGCCAUUCAUUGGCUGCAACAGAGAAGGGGACAUCCCUCGGCUCCUUGGUGGGUGAACCACACUCAGGACGAGGUUCGGGGUGGGCUGCCUAGUCCCUAGGGAGACGAUUGGAGGUCUGGUCUGGGAGAAAGUCCUCUCUGUCUUCUUCUUGGUGGAACUUCUUGAGUGCCAGGGUGCUUCGACCACCAAAAUGGCUGCCGUGUUAGGCGGAUUUCUGGGAAAGAGAAGAUGGCUUAUAUGAGGUGCAGGGGUGUUUGUUGAAUGUUUGCAGCUGUAUUUCAGUCUCUCAGAUAAAGAGAGACUGAUUUUUUUUUUCUGCGUUUUUUUAACUAAAAAUAUCUUAUUUUGCAUCAUCUCCUGAAUCAAGUACACAUCGCACAGAACACCCUUGAAAAAGGGCUGCUCAUAUACUAUACCGAAUCUAAAGUACAAAAAGCUCACCUUGUACUUUUCCGAGACAAAAAAAGCGAUGAUAGAAAUUGUAUGCUUAUAUAAAAAUAAAAAUACCGGCUCAACAUCAAGACCUCAGCUUUUACUUUAACAGCAUGAGUGAUCUAUAGACUUGAUGAUCUCAUUCUGCUUUAUGAAAAAGUGACCUCAUACUCUUGGUAGAUUUUAAUUUUCAUCCAAAAGCGAUUAUAGUAAUGCCAUUUAGGAUUUAGGAUAUUUAACAAAUGAAUACAGUGGAAUACAUAAAAAUAGGACCAGAUUUACUUCGGAAAAUGGAAUUGGCAUAAAAUGAUGAAUUCGACUCUCUGAAGGAGAAGGCAAAUACCUCUAAACCGCACCUUACAUCAAUAGGGCAAGCAGACCUAUAAAUAAAACACUCAAUAUAUUCCCAUGUCCAGGAACUGUGGAACAAAAUGUGUUUAUCCUGAAUGAAAUGUUUGAAUAGUGGUCUUCCUCAUUCCUUUAAAGCCCUCUUUUUUAAUGCUUUAAGUGAAAAUACUACAAACAUUCUUAAUUUAUUAAAGAUGUUUUGAGCCCCUUAUAUUUUGACGGACAUUUCUAUUUCUGAAACACAGAUUAGGCACAUUUUUCUCAUGUUGAGCACAGUAACAGUUGCCAUGGAUGAAUGUAAUUUAUUUUGAUAGCGCAGGGGAGUCGAUGAAGGCCUAAGCUCUGAGCAAGAUCCAGAAAUAACAAACAACUGACCAGCCACAGAGUCUUGAAAAUUGUGCUUCUCCUUUCCUCAAGUGAACUUAAAUCUGCCAUUUGAUACUGAGCCAAUUCAAAUAGUAAUUCAUUUGUAUAUUUAUGUAUCACAUAUAUAUAAAGAUUGGCAGACUCAAAGGGAAGGAAAGUUAUACAUAUAAUAUAGAGUUAUAUACAGGACUGUGAUUUCUCUCAUUUCUUUGAUUAUCUUUGGUGGUCUCCUCUUAUGUUGAAGUCUAGGCUUCAUGAUUCCAUGUAUUCUGAUAUAUGCCGCGAGUCAUAGGGCUGAGAUAUACAUUGUGGCUGCAAGUCUAUUUUGUUGAUUAAAGUAACAUAGCCGAAGGCCAAAUGUAUGUGUGUGUGUGUGCAUGCGUGUGUGCGUUGGGGGUGGGGGCUUGCUCAGGGGGUGGUUGUACACAACUUCCUUAUACUCAAGUGCUAUUCAAUGGCUU